rnacentral:rRNA from 1 species
GACGAACCGUACGAACGUUAUUCGGAAUCACUGGGCUUAAAGGGUGCGUAGGCGGCCUGGCAAGUUGGGUGUGAAAUCCCUCGGCUCAACCGAGGAACUGCGCUCAAAACUGCUAGGCUAGAGGGAGGCAGAGGUGAGCGGAACUUAGGGUGGAGCGGUGAAAUGCGUUGAUAUCCUAAGGAACACCAGUAGCGAAAGCGGCUCGCUGGGCCUCUUCUGACGCUCAGGCACGAAAGCUAGGGGAGCGAACGGGAUUAGAUACCCCCGUA